rnacentral:rRNA from 1 species
AGCAGCCGCGGUAAUUCCAGCUCCAAUAGCGUAUAUUAAAGUUGCUGCAGUUAAAAAAGCUCGUAGUUGAAUUUCGGGACCAUCAUGUCGGUCGUGCCUCGGUACGUACUGGCAUUGUUGGUUUCUCCCUUCUGACGAACCAUGAUGUCAUUAAUUUGGUGUCAUGGGGAAUCAGGACUGUUACUUUGAAAAAAUUAGAGUGUUUAAAGCAGGCUCACGCUUGAAUACAUUAGCAUGGAAUAAUGAAAUAGGACGUUUGAUUCUAUUUUGUUGGUUUCUAGGAUCGACGUAAUGAUUAAUAGGGAUAGUUGGGGGCAUUAGUAUUCAAUUGUCAGAGGUGAAAUUCUUGGAUUUAUUGAAGACUAACUACUGCGAAAGCAUUUGCCAAGGAUGUUUUCAUUAAUCAAGAACGAAAGUUAGGGGAUCGAAGACGAUCAGAUACCGUCGUAGUCUUAACCAUAAACUAUGCCGACUAGGGAUCGGAUGAUGUUAAUUUUUAAUGA